rnacentral:rRNA from 1 species
GACGAACGCUGGCGGCGUGCUUAACACAUGCAAGUCGAACGAAGUGGCGAACGGGUGAGUAACGCGUAAUCAACCGGCCCUUCAGAGGGGGACAACAGUUGGAAACGACUGCUAAUACCGCAUACUGAAGGAGGGGAGUGCGUCUGAUUUGCUAGGUGGGGGGGUAACGGCCCCCCAAGGGGAUGAUCAGGAGCCGGUCUGAGAGGGUGAAAGGCCACAUUGGGAAUGAGACACGGCCCCGACUCCUACGGGAGGCAGCAGUGGGGAAUCUUCCGCAAUGGACGAAAGUCUGACGGAGCAACGCCGCGUGAGGGAUGACGGCCUUCGGGUUGUAAAGCUCUGUUAAUCGGGACGCGGUACCGGAAUAGAAAGCCACGGCUAACUACGUGCCAGCAGCCGCGGUAAUUC